GCCUGGGUGGCUCAGUUGGUUAAGCGUCUGACUUCGGCUCAGGUCAUGAUCUCACGGUCCGUGAGUUCGAGCCCCGCAUCGGGCU
rnacentral:tRNA from 1 species